AGUUUCAGAGGAUCACCCCACUGAAUCUUGAGCCAAAAUUCAUGGCAAUGUUGGACUUCUAUACACCUAAACUGCUGUCCUUGUUUCAAACGAAGAAAGGUGCUGCAGGAGAGAGACAUCGGGCACAAAUGUGUGUUCUACUUAAGAGUGGAAUCCCCAUUCAACAGACCGUGAGGUUGUCAUCCGAUGUCUCAUCAAUCAUUUGGGAGAAGAUGCCAGUGCCUUGUUCAAGGACUUUGAGGAUGCUGCUGAUGGAUCUGCCAGUGUUCAAGAGGAGUUGGCAGAAGAGGUCAUGAAGAUUUACCUGCUGCGGAAACAAGAUGGGUCAUUGGAUGUUGGG
ensembl:lncRNA